rnacentral:rRNA from 1 species
GAUGAACGCUGGCGGCGUGCCUAAUACAUGCAAGCCGAGCGAACGGACGAGAAGCUUGCUUCUCUGAUGUUAGCGGCGGACGGGUGAGUAACACGUGGAUAACCUACCUAUAAGACUGGGAUAACUUCGGGAAACCGGAGCUAAUACCGGAUAAUAUUUUGAACCGCAUGGUUCAAAAGUGAAAGACGGUCUUGCUGUCACUUAUAGAUGGAUCCGCGCUGCAUUAGCUAGUUGGUAAGGUAACGGCUUACCAAGGCAACGAUGCAUAGCCGACCUGAGAGGGUGAUCGGCCACACUGGAACUGAGACACGGUCCAGACUCCUACGGGAGGCAGCAGUAGGGAAUCUUCCGCAAUGGGCGAAAGCCUGACGGAGCAACGCCGCGUGAGUGAUGAAGGUCUUCGGAUCGUAGAACUCUGUUAUUAGGGAAGAACAUAUGUGUAAGUAACUGUGCACAUCUUGACGGUACCUAAUCAGAAAGCCACGGCUAACUACGUG